CUCGUUAAUCUGUUGUCAGAGUCCCUGAUGGCAUGCUAGGGAACGCCAGGCAGAGCUCCCUGGGCUGCUGGCCAUCAUCCAAACAUGCUCCUCUCCGUGGAAAAGAAGUGAUGUCAUACACGGAAGGGGUGGUCUCCACGCACAGGAUACCUGUAAACACCGAAGCAUGUUUCAAAGAAAAACAAAAGUCAAAUUAGAGCACCUAGAAGGUGAGGUCUACCUGCAACUCCAUGUCUACACAAGGUCUGACAAGAGUGCAAACGUUCUGGAGCCUGGAGAUGGCUCAGUGGGCAAGAGAGCGAGCUGAGCAAGCAUAGAGAUUCACGUUCGAACCCCCAGUACCCAUGUAGAAUGCAGGUAUCGCCUCUUGCAUAUCUGUAACUUCAGUGCUGUGGAGAGCAAAGACAGGACAAUUCCAAAGGCUUGCUAACCAUCAGUCUAUCUCCAGGUUCAGCGAGAGAGCCUGUCUCAAGGGAGUAGGGCA
rnacentral:lncRNA from 1 species